UAACACGUGGAUAACCUACCUAUAAGACUGGGAUAACUUCGGGAAACCGGAGCUAAUACCGGAUAAUAUUAUGAACCGCAUGGUUCAAAAGUGAAAGACGGUCUUGCUGUCACUUAUAGAUGGAUCCGCGCUGCAUUAGCUAGUUGGUAAGGUAACGGCUUACCAAGGCAACGAUGCAUAGCCGACCUGAGAGGGUGAUCGGCCACACUGGAACUGAGACACGGUCCAG
rnacentral:rRNA from 1 species